rnacentral:tRNA from 1 species
GCGGGCGUCGUAUAGUGGCUAUUACCCGGCCCUUCCAAGGCCGUGACGUGGGUUCGAUUCCCAUCGCCCGCUCAA